rnacentral:rRNA from 1 species
UACGUAGGUGGCAAGCGUUGUCCGGAUUUACUGGGCGUAAAGAGCGCGCAGGCGGUCGUUCAAGUCGCGUGUGAAAGCCCCCGGCUCAACUGGGGAGGGUCACGCGAUACUGAUCGACUCGAAGGCAGGAGAGGGUAGUGGAAUUCCCGGUGUAGUGGUGAAAUGCGUAGAGAUUUGGAGGAACACCAGUGGCGAAGGCGACUUUCUGGUCUGUAACUGACACUGAGGCGCGAAAGCGUGGGGAGCAAACAGG